AAUCUUCUUCUCCUUCAAAUUGACCCUUAACACAUGCCUUGCAUUUCAAACUGUUUCACAGAACUUUUCAGCUUAACUCUCUUUGUCAUCAUGUCUUUAUCUACGUGUAUUUCAAUUUUUUAACAGCACAUCAGAGAAAACAAGGUCCUCAGGGCAGGAUCUGCAUAGAAGAUGGACAGCUUUAUAAUGCGUUUUCAAUCUAGGCUAAUGGAAUCUAGCAAGUAUGAACAGGUGCACUUUCUAAUAUUAAUAGAAAUGUUAAAAGAACAAAAUAAAUAACGGAAUAUGGUCCAUUUCAAUGUCCCUGUAAGUAAUCCUGGCUUGGAAUCUGCACAUCCUGGAUGAGAUCAGAAAAACAAAAGACCUUUCUGCUCAGCAUAAACAUUAAAAACCCUGGAGCAUUUUUCAUGAGAAAGUGUUUGGCACAGAGUGGUGAUUACUAUUUGGUUACUGUCUUCUACCGCAGAUUUUGUUGCCAUUUACUGGCACCACAUGCAGUUUGUAUAAAGCAAGUACAAAGCUCCAGCUGACUUCAAUGGAAUCCAGCUGACUUCUACAGACUCAAGACCAUGUUAUGAAUUUCACUUCAGAACAACAACAGAAUCCUGAGACCCACACUUAGGUCAAGUAUCUUGAACAGUCACAGGUAAACUUGCAGCAGGGAGAACGGUUCUUCCUAGGUCAUGGGGAGAAAGGAACGAUUCUCAAGGGAUAUUGAAGUCUAGUUUCUUUAGUCUCAGCCGGCAAAUGCCCUACCUCUAGCUGCACUCUACAAUUAGACAUAUGGCAUGCCUUGUAGAGAAGAUUCCCCGUGCAUCCAUCUUCCCCAAUACUGUGGAACCAUAUUUCUGCUGACCGGGA